rnacentral:rRNA from 1 species
GGCAUGGCGGAGCUACCAUGCAGUCGAGCGGUACAGAUCCAGCUUGCUGGAUGCUGACGAGCGGCGGACGGGUGAGUAAUGCAUAGGAAUCUGCCCGGUAGUGGGGGAUAACCUGGGGAAACCCAGGCUAAUACCGCAUACGUCCUACGGGAGAAAGGGGGCUUCGGCUCCCGCUAUCGGAUGAGCCUAUGUCGGAUUAGCUAGUUGGUGAGGUAACGGCUCACCAAGGCCACGAUCCGUAGCUGGUCUGAGAGGAUGAUCAGCCACAUCGGGACUGAGACACGGCCCGAACUCCUACGGGAGGCAGCAGUGGGGAAUAUUGGACAAUGGGGGGAACCCUGAUCCAGCCAUGCCGCGUGUGUGAAGAAGGCCCUCGGGUUGUAAAGCACUUUCAGCGAGGAAGAACGCCUAGCGGUUAAUACCCGCUAGGAAAGACAUCACUCGCAGAAGAAGCACCGGCUAACUCCGUGCCAGCAGCCGCGGUAAUACGGAGGGUGCAAGCGUUAAUCGGAAUUACUGGGCGUAAAGCGCGCGUAGGUGGCUUGAUAAGCCGGUUGUGAAAGCCCCGGGCUCAACCUGGGAACGGCAUCCGGAACUGUCAAGCUAGAGUGCAGGAGAGGAAGGUAGAAUUCCCGGUGUAGCGGUGAAAUGCGUAGAGAUCGGGAGGAAUACCAGUGGCGAAGGCGGCCUUCUGGACUGACACUGACACUGAGGUGCGAAAGCGUGGGUAGCAAACAGGAUUAGAUACCCUGGUAGUCCACGCCGUAAACGAUGUCGACCAGCCGUUGGGUGCCUAGCGCACUUUGUGGCGAAGUUAACGCGAUAAGUCGACCGCCUGGGGAGUACGGCCGCAAGGUUAAAACUCAAAUGAAUUGACGGGGGCCCGCACAAGCGGUGGAGCAUGUGGUUUAAUUCGAUGCAACGCGAAGAACCUUACCUACUCUUGACAUCCUGCGAAUUCGGUAGAGAUACCUUAGUGCCUUCGGGAACGCAGAGACAGGUGCUGCAUGGCUGUCGUCAGCUCGUGUUGUGAAAUGUUGGUUAAGUCCCGUAACGAGCGCAACCCUUGUCCUUAUUUGCCAGCGCGUAAUGGCGA